rnacentral:rRNA from 1 species
AUUGAACGCUGGCGGCAGGCUUAACACAUGCAAGUCAAGCGGAUGACAGGAGCUUGCUCCUUGAUUCAGCGGCGGACGGGUGAGUAAUGCCUAGGAAUCUGCCUGGUAGUGGGGGACAACGUUUCGAAAGGAACGCUAAUACCGCAUACGUCUUACGGGAGAAAGCAGGGGACCUUCGGGCCUUGCGCUAUCAGAUGAGCCUAGGUCGGAUUAGCUAGUUGGUGAGGUAAUGGCUCACCAAGGCGACGAUCCGUAACUGGUCUGAGAGGAUGAUCAGUCACACUGGAACUGAGACACGGUCCAGACUCCUACGGGAGGCAGCAGUGGGGAAUAUUGAACAAUGGGCGAAAGACUGAUCCAGCCAUGCCGCGUGUGUGAAGAAGGUCUUCGGAUUGUAAAGCACUUUAAGUUGGGAGGAAGGGCAGUAAGUUAAUACCUUGCUGUUUUGACGUUACCGACAGAAUAAGCACCGGCUAACUCUGUGCCAGCCGCCGCCGUAAGAC